UGUCAAUAAUAACUGCUGCUGUGAAGAGAACAAUUCUCAGACUGAAUGUUGAACAUCAGCUAGUUUCUCCUGUUGAUUUAAACCUUGUUGUAGAGAUGGAACAUUGGCUGGGGAUUAUUCUUGCUGCUCUUUUCUUUGGACUAAUAGCUGGAGACACAAUCUCUCCUGAACGAGAGGAAGUCAGUGAAAGAGAAGGACAAUCUGUCACACUCACAUGUAACUAUCAGACAGCUGAAGACUAUAUUUACCUUAACUGGUACAGACAUCAUUCUGACCUUCAGGCACCUCAGUUUAUACUCUGGAAAGGAGCAAAAGAUAACACAGCUGAACAUAUUCCUGAUAGAAGAUAUGAAUCUGAAACAUCAGCAACAUCAACUACACUGACCAUCAGAGAUCUAACCCUGGCAGACACAGCUCUCUACUACUGUGCUCUAGAAACAGUGAUACAAAGUGUAGAAGAGGCUGUACAAAAACCUGAACCCAGAUAUCUGACUACUCUUCAAAGAGGAGGGAAGUGGUAUUCAAACCACAGCUUCAUAUCAGAUGGAUUCUGCUAAUUCCUGUUUUAUCAGAGUCACUGUGGUUCCAGCUGCUAAUGAAACACUGGGGGAGGAUUCACAGGAGCAGCAAAUCCACAUCAAUUUACAGAAAACAUUUGGGGCCAAUCAGAUUCCUCCCAGAUGGUUCCAUAUAUGUGCCCCCUAAAGGGUGUUCACCUCUACAACUCACUACAGCAUCACUACGUCAUAUUAUUGUGUUCUAUAAACUUUACGAUAGUGAAUAUCUACAA